ACCCAGCCAACGCAGCCUUGCCCGCCGGAGGAGCUCACCGAUGGGACUUACAUAGACAAACACACAGACACUCAUAGACACACAGAGACUCAUAGACACGCUGGUGAAUGGUUUCAACAUAUCACUGUCUCAUCAGCAGCAGCAGCAGCAGGGUGAUCUUCCCAGAUGAUUAUAGACAGAUAAUGGUUUCAACAUAUCACUGUCUCAUCAUCAUCAUCAUCAGCAGCAGGGUGAUCUUCCCAGAUGAUUAUAGACAGAUAAUGGUUUCAACAUAUCACUGUCUCAUCAUCAUCAUCAUCAGCAGCAGGGUGAUCUUCCCAGAUGAUUAUAGACAUAAUGGUUUCAACAUAUCACUGUCUCAUCAUCAUCAUCAGCAGCAGGGUGAUCUUCCCAGAUGAUUAUAGACAGAUAUUGGUUUCAACAUAUCACUGUCUCAUCAUCAUCAUCAGCAGCAGGGUGAUCUUCCCAGAUGAUCAUAGACAGAUAAUAGUUUCAACAUAUCACUGUUUCAUCAUCAGCAGCAAGGUGAUCUUCCCAGAUGAUUAUAGACAGAUAAUGGUUUCAACAUAUCACUGUCUCAUCAUCAGCAACAGCAGCAGCAGGGUCAGCUAAGAAUCAACGCUGGUGACCUCCCCAGAUGAUUAUAGACAGAUAAUGGUUUCAACAUAUCACUGUCUCAUCAUCAGCAGCAGGGUGAUCUUCCCAGAUGUUUAUAGACAGAUUAUAGUUUAAACAUAUCACUGUCUCAUCAGCAGCAGCAGCAGCAGCUAGGUGAUCUUCCCAGAUGAUUAUAGACAUAAUAGUUUCAACAUAUCACUGUUUCAUCAUCAGCAGCAGGGUGAUCUUCCCAGAUGAUUAUAGACAGAUAAUAGUUUAAACAUAUCACUGUCUCAUCAUCAUCAUCAGCAGCAGGGUGAUCUUCCCAGAUGAUUAUAGACAGAUAAUAGUUUCAACAUAUCACUGUCUCAUCAUCAUCAUCAGCAGCAAGGUGAUCUUCCCAGAUGAUUAUAGACAGAUAAUAGUUUCAACAUAUCACUGUUUCAUCAUCAGCAGCAAGGUGAUCUUCCCAGAUGAUUAUAGACAGAUAAUAGUUUCAACAUAUCACUGUUUCAUCAUCAGCAGCAAGGUGAUCUUCCCAGAUGAUUAUAGACAGAUAAUGGUUUCAACAUAUCACUGUCUCAUCAUCAGCAGCAGGGUGAUCUUCCCAGAUGAUUAUAGACAGAUAAUGGUUUCAACAUAUUACUGUCUCAUCAUCAUCAGCAGCAGGGUGAUCUUCCCAGAUGAUUAUAGACAGAUAAUAGUUUCAACAUAUCACUGUCUCAUCAUCAUCAUCAGCAGCAGGGUGAUCUUCCCAGAUGAUUAUAGACAGAUAAUGGUUUCAACAUAUCACUGUCUCAUCAUCAGCAGCAGGGUGAUCUUCCCAGAUGAUUAUAGACAGAUAAUGGUUUCAACAUAUCACUGUCUCAUCAUCAUCAGCAGCAGCAGGGUCAGCUAAGAAUCAACGCUGGUGACCUGUACGCCAAUUUAUAUUUUGCACAAGUUCUAAUGAAAUAUACGUGCACGUG